UCUGUCAGUAUAAGUUGAAUUGUGUUCUUAUAUCUUAGAGAUUCAUGAUGCUGAUGUUGUCCUCGGAAGCUGUCUGAAGUAGAACGUGCUAAUCUUCGACCGAGAGGAUAAUUGGAGCAUAUCUUCCAAGGUUGUCUCUCACUACACUUGCAUAUGAGAGAGAGAGUUUCUUGUUGUGUUUUACCAGUACAUGGAAUCUUAAAACUUGAAGAAGGUAACAGUAUACACUGAAUUCAAACGCAGCAGCUUAUAGAGAGAGAGUGACAAGCAUAUGCUCAACUGAGAAAAAAGUUUAUCAUCUUAGAGCAUUGCGGUGUUAUUACAGUAUUCCAUAAAAGGUUUUCCUUGCUUGUGACAGAAACUUAAUUGAUAGAGAAU